CUGGAAGUUGCUGCAGAGGGCUGAAGAUAGGGUUGGUCACAAACUGAGCCUGAACUAAGUGCUGGAAAAUAGCCUAGGGAGCUGAUGAGUGUAUGGCCACUGCUGGCUUACCCUGCAUGCAAAGUUUGGGGACUCGUCCGGGAUCCACAGCAGAUUCCCCCGACCGGAGGACCACAGACAAUCUCCCACCAGACCCAGCACCCAUCUGAAGGAUUAGCUCCAAUGAAAAGUGCUGGGUUUAUGGCAUUGCAAACUGGAGUCUUCUAUCUCUAGAAGAAGUACAGUACAGGCAGCAGUGGAGCAAGUUUCCCUACAUGGCUCUGCUGAUACCUCAGUCCCCGAUCAAU